CAAAAACAUCGUCUUUUGCUAAAAAGGUUUUUGUGGUAUAAAAGGUAGAAACUGCCCAGUGCACUUUUGUUAUAAAAGUUUUAUAGCAGUCAACGGCGGCGGUAUUUUUAACUGUCCUAAGGUAGCGUAAUUAUUUGGCUUUUAAUUGAAGUCUGGUAUGAAGGGGUUGACGAGGAUUUUUCUGUCUUAGAAAUAAAUAGUGAAUUUAGUUUUAAAGUAAAAAUACUUUAAUGUAUUUUAGGGACGAUAAGACCCCGACGAGUUUUUUCUUUCUUUUAAUGGUUUGGUUGGGGGUUGGGUUUGGUUGGGGCAACUUUUUAUUUUUAAUUUUUUUAAUUUAAUUUCUUUGGUUUGAGAAGUUUUAGGUUUAUUCUAUUAGAAAAAGUUUUUAGUUUUGAUCUAGAUUUAGUUUUAGUGUUUGUUAAAAUUACCGCGGGGGUAACAGCGUGGUUUUUCUGGAGAGUCCAUAUUGAAGGAAUAGUUCGCGACCUCGAUGUAGAAUCAUUCUUUCCUGGUGGAGUAGUAAUUACCAAGGGUGGGUU
rnacentral:rRNA from 1 species